AGAGUUUGAUCCUGGCUCAGGAAGAACGCUAGCGGCAGGCCUAAUACAUGCAAGUCGAGGGGCAGCGGGAGUAGCAAUACUUGCCGGCGACCGGCGCACGGGUGCGUAACGCGUAUGCAAUGUGCUCUCUACUGGCGAAUAGCCCUUCGAAAGAAGGAUUAAUACGCCGUAAAAUUCGUCCCAGGCAUCUGGGAUUAAUUAAAGCUCAGGCGGUAGAGAAUCAGCAUGCGUGACAUUAGCUAGUUGGUGAGGUAACGGCUCACCAAGGCAACGAUGUCUAGGGGUUCUGAGAGGAUGACCCCCCACACUGGUACUGAGACACGGACCAGACUCCUACGGGAGGCAGCAGUAAGGAAUAUUGGACAAUGGCCGCAAGGUUGAUCCAGCCAUGCCGCGUGAAGGAUGAAGGCCCUAUGGGUUGUAAACUUCUUUUGUUUGGGAGAAAACCCCUGUACGUGUACGGGGCUGAUAGUACCAAAAGAAUAAGGAUCGGCUAACUCCGUGCCAGCAGCCGCGGUAAUACGGAGGAUCCAAGCGUUAUCCGGAUUUAUUGGGUUUAAAGGGUGCGUAGGCGGGAUAAUAAGUCAGUGGUGAAAGCCUGUCGCUUAACGACAGAACUGCCAUUGAUACUGUUAACCUAGAGUCCGUUUGAAGUGGGCGGAAUGUGCAGUGUAGCGGUGAAAUGCUUAGAUAUUGCACAGAACACCGAUUGCGAAGGCAGCUCACUAAACCGGUACUGACGCUGAGGCACGAAAGCGUGGGGAUCAAACAGGAUUAGAUACCCUGGUAGUCCACGCCGUAAACGUUGAUAACUCGUUGUUAGCGAUAUACUGUUAGCGACUAAGCGAAAGCAUUAAGUUAUCCACCUGGGAAGUACGACCGCAAGGUUGAAACUCAAAGGAAUUGACGGGGGCCCGCACAAGCGGAGGAGCAUGUGGUUUAAUUCGAUGAUACGCGAGGAACCUUACCAGGGCUUGAAAGUUAGUGACAGGCGGUGAAAGCCGUCCUUCAGCAAUGACACAAAACUAGGUGCUGCAUGGCUGUCGUCAGCUCGUGCCGUGAGGUGUUGGGUUAAGUCCCGCAACGAGCGCAACCCCUAUCAUUAGUUGCCAGCGGAUAAUGCCGGGGACUCUAAUGAAACUGCCCGUGCAAACGGUGAGGAAGGUGGGGAUGACGUCAAGUCAGCACGGCCCUUACGUCCUGGGCUACACACGUGCUACAAUGGAUGAGACAACGGGCAGCUACACAGUGAUGUGAUGCUAAUCUCUUAAACUCAUUCUCAGUUCGGAUUGAAGUCUGCAACUCGACUUCAUGAAGCUGGAUUCGCUAGUAAUCGCAUAUCAGCCUUGAUGCGGUGAAUACGUUCCCGGGCCUUGUACACACCGCCCGUCAAGCCAUGGGAGUUGGGAGUACCUAAAGUCGAUGAGCGAAAGCAGUUGCCUAGGGUAAAACCAAUGACUGGGGCUAAGUCGUAACAAGGUAACCGUACCGGAAGGUGUGGUUG
rnacentral:rRNA from 1 species